rnacentral:pre_miRNA from 1 species
UAGACAUAUUAUUGUAUUCGACUGUAUUCACGGCACAAUUCAUGAUCUAUUCAGCUGUUUUUAAACGGAAAGUGAAUCAAUUAACAUAAUAGACUUCU